UAUGUGAUCGUCUCUCGCAUAUCAAUAAGCGGAGGAAAAGAAACUAACAAGGAUUCCCCUAGUAACGGCGAGUGAAGCGGGAAGAGCUCAAAUUUGAAAUCUUAAAGGGUUUCCCUUUACGAAUUGUAGUUUAAAGAAGUGUUUUCUGUUGAGGUUUUGGUAAAAGUUCUUUGGAAUAGGACAUCAUAGAGGGUGAGAAUCCCGUAUUUGACCUUUACUUUCAACUUUGUGAUACACUUUCAAAGAGUCGGAUUGUUUGGGAAUGCAGUCCAAAAUGGGUGGUAAAUUUCAUCUAAAGCUAAAUAUUGGCGAGAGACCGAUAGCGAACAAGUACCGUGAGGGAAAGAUGAAAAGAACUUUGAAAAGAGAGUUAAACAGUACGUGAAAUUGUCAAAAGGGAAGCGUUUGACACCAGUGUUGUUUUUCUGAAAAUCAAUUAAAGAACUGUUUAUGCUAAGCUGUUUAGACUUUAUCAGCUAAUCUGUUUAGUUUUGAGCUUUUCUUUAAUGCACUUUUCAGUUAACAAGUCAACAUCAAUUUCUUUUGCUGUAAAAAAGCUUGAGGAAGGUGGCUUGAGAUUCGUCUUAAGUGUUUAUAGCCUCUUGCCUAUGCAGUCGGAGAGAUCGAGGUCUGCAGCGUAGAUCCUUCGGGGCUAAAUGCAUUUGUGCUAAGUUAUAGCAUUUUAUAGACAACUUGUUGACUAUGAUUUGUCUUGUAGCUUACUCGCUUAUGUUAUUUUACCUACGCUUAGGAUGUUGAGUAGCGACAUACGCAC
rnacentral:rRNA from 1 species